rnacentral:rRNA from 1 species
UACGGAGGAUCCAAGCGUUAUCCGGAUUUAUUGGGUUUAAAGGGUGCGUAGGCGGCUUUUUAAGUCAGGGGUGAAAGACGGUGGCUCAACCAUCGCAGUGCCCUUGAUACUGAAGAGCUUGAAUGAACUAGAGGUAGGCGGAAUGUGACAAGUAGCGGUGAAAUGCAUAGAUAUGUCACAGAACACCGAUUGCGAAGGCAGCUUACUAUGGUUUAAUUGACGCUGAGGUGCGAAAGCGUGGGGAGCAAACAGG